UCAAUGAUAAAUUGACUAAAUAAGUUAUCUAUCCUCUAAUUUCUUUAUCAAAGUAAAUAAAGCCUCUUUUGGCGCAGAGACAGAAAAAGUGGAAAAGUGUUUCAUUGCAUUGCUAGUUUAUGUUCUACCAUUCUGACUUUUGCUAAAAGCAUUAAUUGAUUACUGUUCUCUAGACUAUAUAUUGAAAUUUCAAAUUUCAAACAAAUUAAAAGUCUUUGUCUUCCAAACUUUCUGAAUUUUGUCAAACAUGUGACUGUUGACUCUGCUAAAUGGAAGUUUAGAAAGAGUUUCCUGGAGGAUGAGUGGUUAUUAAGCUUAAAAUGUCCCUCGGGUACUUAUUUAAGAGCUUACGCAGAAAGUAUGCCAAAGCCAGAUAUAGCCGUGUGCUCAGACCUUAUCACUCUUAGAAAUGAGCAUGUCUGACAAAAGGCAGAUUAGGGGUGCUUCAGGAAUGUGUCUAGAGCCAUACUGACUUUUCUUAGGCCCAUGCUAUCAAUUACCUACUCAUUUGGAAGAUGCCAAGGGACUUAAGUUUUAAGUUUGGCCAUAUUGCAUAUUUGUAACAAUAUUUCCUAAAAAUGUUUGCAAUUGUAGUGAGGCAGACUACUGUUUUGUAGUAUUUCCCCUGGUUUUGUCAUUUGUGUAUAAUGGUGACUUUCCCUUUUAUGCAUAAUAUAUUUUAACUUUAAUGCGACUUGCAUUAUGCAGUGUGUAUAAGAACAUCGCAUCUGUCUGUUUUAUUGUAUCAUGCCCCUCAGUAUUAGGUGGGUUUUUAUAGCCUAUCUGCAUGCGUUUGUGGGAUAUAUUAGGGUGGCUACGUGCUGCCUAGACACGCGUCACAGUCUAAUGACCUCCCCCUUUCCAGUAUUGGAUGCUUCUGCUCCAAAGGUAUGUGUUGUUGUUGUUUAUGUUAGAUGGCUAAAAGCUUGGCUCUGGUACCCUGUGCUAUUGUUAGUUCCUUUGUAUGUGAUAGCUUUUGUCUGAGUUCAGUUUCAGUUGUGUUUCAGUCUGCCUGUUCCAUAUUGUAUACCACCUGUGUAUUCGCGGCCAUAAUUCUGACUGUAGCUCCAACACUUUUGGUGAAAUACCUGCUCACCAGAAUGUGUCUGUCUGUAUGGAAGCUGCAGGAGCUGAGGGCCCAAUAUAGGAGGCUAGCCAUUCCCCGCAAAAUGGUGGUAGUGCCCCUGUCACAUGCGGAGUGCUGUUUAUUCACAACUGAUUCACCUGUGUGCUUGUGUGAGUGUGAGUGUACACUUGUGGGUGAAGUGUCUUUUUAUCGGAGGAUCACUGCGCUCAGCUAGCCUACCUGCUCCUGUGCCCCAGUUAUGAAACCGCGUACAUCCCACUCAGUCAGAGGUUUAAGCUCCUGCUCCCUCCCAAAGGGUAUGUACCAAUAUGCAUGGAGCACAUUUUCACAGAUGACAUCAGAGAACAAGCAUAUGAAUUACCAGGCAGCCUGCCAUCUUUGAGUUCAGACAGAAUGCCAUUAAUACCAGAUGAAGAGCCCAAACAACAACAGCACAACAACAUGAAAGCCCAAAACAACUGGGACCAGAUACUCUCCUGCUCUCUCUUUGCCCCAAAAGUUGCGACACCAUUGAAACUACCAGCAGACUUGAGGGACUUGUAAAAAAGAUUCUGGUCAGCAAAUCACAUUAUGAUGAAUAAAAUAUAUGCCACUCUUGACCAUGACUUAUUUAAGAGCUAUUAUAAAUUCAUGCUUACAAUUAAAAAAAAACACAAUCAUUUCAAAAUGGAAUGGCAAUAAAUAUUAGUAUUACCCAAUUAAGUCACAAUUAAUUCUAAGCAGGCUGAUAAGCUACAAAGAACAUUCCAAUUAGAAGAUGAACAUAUCAAGAAAAUGAGAGGGAGAAGAAUAUUUCCACCUGGAAAUAUGAGGAUAUAGAUUAGAUGCAUAAAGAGGCAAUAUAGAGGCUAUCAUAUGGUGUCUUUUGGCAAUUUCGAACAAAAUGUAUACAGUCCUGUGAAUUGCUACUACCUUCGCUGGGAAGACAAUGUCCAGUUUAUGACCAUAAAGAUUUUUUAGGCUAUUAAUAAUGUGUGAAAAGACACAAUUGAGACUGAAAAUUCAGACUGAAAAAAGACAAAAAUAAAAUUCUUUAAAUUUUUUCAAGCAUUUGCUUGAAAAAUCAUUGCUACUGUCAUUCAGUGUGUGGACUGCAACUUCUGUAAUUUUUUAAAUAAUAAGUAUAAAGUUUCUUCCCUCAAGUGCAGCCGCAUGUGUUGGCCAGAAAUCAGGUAAAGGGAAAAAUAAAACUUGAAACUUUCCAGGAAUCAGGAAUAAUUCUGUCCACAACAUAUUAUCCACAUCAUCAGCCUUUGACAUUCAGCAGUAUGCCUCUGUAUAGACAGAGAGGAAAACAGGCCGAAAAGAAAAACAAAGUUUAUGUAUUUCAAAAAGCAUGCACACAUUAUAAACUAGCAACACAUUGGCCUAAAUCAUGUUCUCAAAAUUCUCAUAUGUGAACUUUAAAUGUAAACCCGUGGAGGCCAUUUUAGAUUAAUAUUGCAUAAACUGUGUAUAUAUAUAUAUAUAUAUAUAUAUAUAUAUAUAAAAUCUAACAUUUCCACUUGCAUCUCACAAAUAAAAAAAGUCAGAGGCUUCAUGCCCAUUCAAAUUACACAUGCCCCCUCAGAUUGUGAGCUAAGUGAUUUUAAAUUCAAUGUCAAAAUUCACUCAUUUGACUUUUUUUUUUCUCUCAAAACACAAAAGUAAUAAUCAUACAAAUGUCACAGCUGCUCUUUUACGAACAAUAAGGAUGCAUGGUGAUCACUGGCUGUCAAACACCUUCUUAUUCUGUCCAUAUGUGUUUUUUCAUUUAAAAAAAAAUACAUGCAUAGAUAUAUAUAUAUAUAUUCACUCUCAGAUCAAAUUAAAUUAUUGUAAACUCAUGCAAACAGAACGCAAAUCCAAUAUGGUGACACAUCAAUAACGUCAAACUACAUUGGCUCUUGCACAUGUCAUGACCAAACUUCAUGACACCAUGCCACAAGAAUCAUUUGAAGUGAUAAGUAUUUUUUAAUGAAAUACUUCAGAUGAAUUGGGUGAUUCUCAGAUUACAGGCAUAUUUCUGUCUCUGGGAUGUAUUUAUAGGAAAAACACAUUUCACAUAACUAUUUUAAAUGUCCAUAGUCAGUUUAGACAAAGACAGAUCUAGACUUUUUUAUUGUGUCUCAAGAUAAUUAUUUUAGUACAUUUUAUGUGUGUUUUAUGGUUGAAAAUGAAUGUUUUGGUGCUGUCCCCAACCCUGAGUUUCAAAUAUAAUGAUUUAAAUUAACAUAUUUAAAUUAAAUAUUUCCAUCAAAAUUGUGCAGUUUUUAGUGUAUUUUAAUUAAACAUUUUUUAAGCUAGAAUAUUAUUAACAAAUUUUAAGUAUACAUCUGGAUUUUGUUCUUUAUUUCCUUUCAUUUAUACCUGUCCCUUAAUAUAGCCGUCAUUACCAACACACUCUACAUAAUGCAACAAAAUAAUAAUGGUAACUUGAGAUCCUAGUGGAGCUCAUGUCUGUCAAGAAAGAAGACUGGUCUUUUGAUGUCCAGAAAGGUAAGAAAAUGUACUCUUUAGUCAUAGUGAUAGGCAUGUACACUUAUUGCGUGACAUCACCAAACAAGUUAUAUUUUUGUUAACUUAAAUUAUUUUGAUGAAUUUUUACUUAUUUUCUCAUUAAUUUACUGUACUUUACAUGUAGCUAUGCAGCUAGACUUGCUAGUCAUCUAUGAGGCUAGUUUUUUUUUUUUUUUGCAAAAAUGGCAAAUAUGUCAUCACAAGCACGUUACAGCUUGUGAUAGUGAUUACGGGUCGUGGUGGUAAUGACAAAACCCAAAAUUCCAGCAACCCAUUUCUGCCUCUAUUUUGAGAAAUACCCAAUUACAAUCGAAUGGCAUACAGUACAUGAAUGAAAUACAUUACAUGACCUCAGUUGAACUGUUAUAAAAAUGUUUCAUAAAAUAUUUAAGUGAAUAAAAUAGUUGUUUUCUAUAAUUUCAGAUAUUUGUAGAAAAACAAAAUAAAAAACAAAUUUCCAAUAUUUGUAGAACUGCAUUCUUCCAUCUCAGAAAUACUGCCAAGUUACGACACGUUAUCUGUUUCUGAUGCCGAAAAACUAAUUCAUGCGUUCAUGACGACAAGACUAGAUUAUUGUAAUUCAUUACUAGGUGGAUGUUCUGCAGGUUUAAUAAAUAAACUUCAGUUGGUUCAAAAUGCAGCAGCGAGAGUGCUAACUAGAACCAAGAAAUACGAUCAUAUCAGCCCCAUUUUAUCGGCGUUACAUUGGCUUAUAAGUACUUAAGUGACCUUCUGUCAUGCUAUAAUCCAUCGCGCUCAUUACAAUCGCAAAACUCCAGCCUGUUAACAAUACAGAGAAUAUCAAAAUACACAAAAGGAUGGAGAUUAUUUUCAUAUUUGGCUCCUAAACUAUGGAAUAAUCUUCCUAGCAGUGUUCGGAACUCAGACACACUCUCUCGGUUUAAAUCUAGCCUUAAGACUAAUCUAUUCAGCCAGGCAUACACCUAAUUUAUCCCUCAAUUCAUAACUAUGCUGCUUUAGUUAGAUCUGCCGGAACCAAAAACACUUCUCUUAUUCUUUAACCCUGCUUUAAAGUGAAUGGCAUCUACGUUAAUUUUAUUCUACUUCUCAGGGUUGUAUCCCAAGGUUACCAGAGCCUGCCAGAUCCAUCUCCAGUCCUGCCUGAUGUCCGAUUCCCACUGUGUCGCUGAGUGAUGAUGACCAACUGCAGCAUGUGCCAGCCAGACUUCACUUCAGUCUACUAAGACAGACUUCACAGAAGAUGCAAACUCAAAGACACAGGAUUCAUCAUGAGCCACUGUCUGAAGCAUGGGCUCAGGAUGGAGUUCACCAAAAUUACCUGCCAUAAGCUUCCAGCCAGACUGCGAUGAUCCUCACUGAAUGCUACCAUUAUCAACUUGGACUAAGGAGGGAGAACACUCUCUUAAAAUACAUAGAAAAUGAAUUAACCACUAAAAAAGACUUCAUUGGCCAAAAUCAAAGGACAGUGCAUAUACGUGUAUUUCCUCAGUUAAUUCGGGAUGACUUCAAGGACUUUAACACUAAAACUUAUAGUUCAUAUAAAAUCAUUUUGUUUAAUCAUUGACCUACAACACUUACUUAGUUUACUAAUUUUAACCUCUAAUAGUUCAAAGCAUAAAUAACUAAUAUUGGUAUUAUAUUCAUUCAUUUUCUGUUAUAGCAUAAUUUCAUGUACAGCUGCUUUGAAACAAUGACUAUUGUGAAAAGUGCUAUACAAAUAAAUUUGACUUGACUUGACUUAAAAUGUUUGUUUAUGGGAAUUUCAGUAAGUAUUAAAUGUGCUUUACUCUGUUCCUUUCAUGGAA